rnacentral:rRNA from 1 species
GGGGCAACCCUGAUCCAGCAAUGCCGCGUGUGUGAAGAAGGCCUUCGGGUUGUAAAGCACUUUUGUCCGGAAAGAAAUCGCGCUGGUUAAUACCUGGCGUGGAUGACGGUACCGGAAGAAUAAGCACCGGCUAACUACGUGCCAGCAGCCGCGGUAAUACGUAGGGUGCGAGCGUUAAUCGGAAUUACUGGGCGUAAAGCGUGCGCAGGCGGUUUUGUAAGACAGGCGUGAAAUCCCCGGGCUUAACCUGGGAAUUGCGCUUGUGACUGCAAGGCUAGAGUGCGUCAGAGGGGGGUAGAAUUCCACGUGUAGCAGUGAAAUGCGUAGAGAUGUGGAGGAAUACCGAUGGCGAAGGCAGCCCCCUGGGACGUGACUGACGCUCAUGCACGAAAGCGUGGGGAGCAAACAGGAUUAGAUACCCUGGUAGUCCACGCCCUAAACGAUGUCAACUAGUUGUUGGGGAUUCAUUUUCUCAGUAACGUAGCUAACGCGUGAAGUUGACCGCCUGGGGAGUACGGUCGCAAGAUUAAAACU